UCCGGUUUGUCACCGGCGGUCUCCUUAGAGUUCCCACCAUUACGUGCUGGCAACUAAGGACAAGGGUUGCGCUCGUUGCGGGACUUAACCCAACAUCUCACGACACGAGCUGACGACAGCCAUGCAGCACCUGUGUUCGAGUUCCCGAAGGCACCAAUCCAUCUCUGGAAAGUUCUCGACAUGUCAAGGCCAGGUAAGGUUCUUCGCGUUGCAUCGAAUUAAUCCGCAUGCUCCGCCGCUUGUGCGGGAGGAAGGUGGGGAUGACGUGUGGAAUGUCGAUA
rnacentral:misc_RNA from 1 species